GAUGAAGAACGUAGCGAAAUGCGAUAAGUAAUGUGAAUUGCAGAAUUCAGUGAAUCAUCGAAUCUUUGAACGCACAUUGCGCCCCUUGGUAUUCCGAGGGGCAUGCCUAUUCGAGCGUCAUUAUCACCCCUCAAGCCUAGCUUGGUGUUGAGGCCUGCUGUCAAGGCAGCCUCUAAAAUCAGUGGCAGUGCUGUCAGGCUCUAAGCGUAGUAAAUCUAAUCGCUAUAGACACCUGGUGGACACUCGCCAGAACCCCCCCAUUUUUUAAUGAUUGACCUCGGAUUAGGUAUGGAUACCCGCUGAACUUAAGCAUAUCAAUAAGCGGAGGA
rnacentral:misc_RNA from 1 species